rnacentral:rRNA from 1 species
CCUACGGGAGGCAGCAGUGGGGAAUAUUGGACAAUGGGGGCAACCCUGAUCCAGCCAUGCCGCGUGUGUGAAGAAGGCCUUCGGGUUGUAAAGCACUUUCAGAUGUGAGGAAAGGUGAGUAGUUAAUACCUGCUUACUGUGACGUUAACAUCAGAAGAAGGACCGGCUAACUCCGUGCCAGCAGCCGCGGUAAUAC